rnacentral:rRNA from 1 species
AUUGAACGCUGGCGGCAGGCCUAACACAUGCAAGUCGAGCGGAUGAAGGGAGCUUGCUCCUGGCUUCAGCGGCGGACGGGUGAGUAAUGCCUAGGAAUCUGCCUGGUAGUGGGGGAUAACGUCCGUAAACGGGCGCUAAUACCGCAUACGUCAUGAGGGAGAACGUGGGGGAUCUUCGGACCUCACGCUAUCAGAUGAGCCUAGGUCGGAUUAGCUAGUUGGUGAGGUAAAGGCCUACCAAGGCGACGAUCCGUAACUGGUCUGAGAGGAUGAUCAGUCACACUGGAACUGAGACACGGUCCAGACUCCUACGGGAGGCAGCAGUGGGGAAUAUUGGACAAUGGGCGAAAGCCUGAUCCAGCCAUGCCGCGUGUGUGAAGAAGGUCUUCGGAUUGUAAAGCACUUUAAGUUGGGAGGAAGGGCAGUAAGUUAAUACCUUGCUGUUUUGACGGUACCAACAGAAUAAGCACCGGCUAACUUCGUG